AUUGAACGCUGGCGGAAUGCUUUACACAUGCAAGUCGAACGGUAGAGGGGGCAACCCCUCGAGAGUGGCGAACGGGUGAGUAAUAUAUCGGAACGUGCCCAGUCGUGGGGGAUAACGUAGCGAAAGUUACGCUAAUACCGCAUACGAUCUAAGGAUGAAAGCGGGGGAUCGCAAGACCUCGCGCGAUUGGAGCGGCCGAUAUCAGAUUAGGUAGUUGGUGGGGUAAAGGCUCACCAAGCCAACGAUCUGUAGCUGGUCUGAGAGGACGACCAGCCACACUGGAACUUAGACCCGGUCCAGACUCCUACGGGAGGCAGCAGUGGUGAAUUUUGGACAAUGGACGCAAGUCUGAUCCAGCCAUUCCGCGUGCAGGAUGAAGGCCCUCGGGUUGUAAACUGCUUUUGUACGGAACGAAAAGGUCUCUCUUAAUACGGGGGACUCAUGACGGUACCGUAAGAAUAAGCACCGGCCAACUACGUGCCAGCCGCCGCAGUAA
rnacentral:rRNA from 1 species